CAAUUGAGCAUUGUUUAAAUGCCACGGCCUACCCGAGUGUCGUAGCUGACCAUGUCCAUCAAUUUAUGACUACAGUGUACCCAUCUUCUGAUGGCUACUUCCAGCAGGAUAAUGCACCAUGUUACAAAGUUCAAAUCAUCUCAGACUGAUUUCUUGUACAUGAAAAUUAGUUCACUUUACUCAAAUGGCCUCCACAGUCAACAAAUCUCAAUCCAAAAGAGCAACUGUGGGAUUUGGAGGAAUGAGAGAUUCACAUAAUGAUGUUUGAUACUAUCAUGUCAAUAUGGACCAAAAUCUCAGAGGAAUGUUUCCAACACAUUGUUAAAUCUAUUAAUUUAUUUAGUCAUCAGGUGUUGAGAUGAAGAUAAUUUCUACAGUAGGAUUUACAAAACAUCUGGCAUUACAAGUGCUUAAAAGAAAUAAAGAAAGAAGGCUAUGAACAGGAGAAAAGUAUAAAGGGUUGGUAUCAUGUGAGCCCAUGCAUGGUGAUGUAGGAGCAGGCAUAAACACUUCCUCUAAGAUUGCUCUAAGAAUGAACGUCACUCAUUUGUGUCAGGAAGUUUGGCUUCCCUCAUGUGAUCAAGUGUUGAUAUGAAAGUAACACAGAUUUGAGCAUUCAAGUUCAUUCGAGUUCAUGACCUCUGCUUCAAGAAAAAAGGCUCUUCGACUUAUAGCAUUAGUGCCUUUGUGCUCAGAGAAUGAAGGAUCAGUAUAAUGUUGUUAAAAAGGACCCUUGUAAUCCUGAAGACCUUGAUUAUCUGCUUGAGCCCGUGCUUGACCUUCUGGAUCUAAAUCACAUUAACAUAAGGAAACACAAAACUAGCCCAAACUAACUGCAUUUCUAAGGUGGUUUCCCUUGUAAAAAUCGCAUCCCAGGCACUUAAUUUCACAUUAUUGUGUUCGAACAUGAAAAGAAACCCCUGGUAACAGUGAUGAAGUAGCCAAAUUCCACAAGACAACCACAGAUUUGACAACACUGUAGACAGUUGGAGACCAGAUUCAAUGAUCUCACUGCUGAGAAAAGCCAGUUACAGAGCAACCCCAACUCUUCAAAUUAGAAGAAACUGGACUUCGGCUGGAGACCAGAGUCAAUAAUCUUACGAAAGGCCAGUUGGAGACCAGAUUCAAUGAGAAAAGACAGUUACAGAGCAACUUCAAAUCUUUAAGUCAGAAGAAUCUUGUUGAAAUCAAUAAGGUUCAUAUCUUCAUCCAUCAAGGACAGGGUGUGGAUUGGUUUGUCUGACAGAGAGCAGGAGGGCAACACGAAAUGGGUGGAUAAUUCACCACUGAAACAAUGGAGGAAGUAGAUGUUUGGUGUUGAUCACAGUGUGUCUCGGGCUCAUUUGUGUUCUUCUGCUGGUCUUCAUCAUACUGCUGCACAUCACCAUCACAGCAGAGAGAGACCUGAAAAAGAUUUACAAGAACACAGUUGAAGAGUUCAAUCAAACCAUCAACAGCUUACAAGACAAUUACACUGAUUUAACACAGCAGAACCUGGCACUGGAGACCAAAGUCAAAAAUCUCAAUGCCGAGAAAAAACAGUUAGAGAGAGAUUAUGACUCUUUGAAUAAGACGUGCACGUUUAGUUUUUUCAUGUCCACUGAGUUGAGCUGGUCUGAGAGCAAACAAUACUGCAGGGAUCAUGGAGCUGAUCUGGCCAUUAUCAACACUGAAUUGAAGCAGAGGUUCAUAUCUUCUUUAGUCAAAGAGAUUGUGUGGAUUGGUUUGUCUGACAUACAGCAGGAGGGCAUCAUGAAAUGGGUGGAUAAUUCAACAUUGAAUCAAGGGUUUUGGGAGAGCAACGAGCCGAAUGACGCUGGUGGAAAUGAAGACUGCAUUGAACUGAAUCCUUCAAAACCUCUCCUGAACAACUGGAAUGAUGUCCCAUGCACAAAUAAAAGAAAAUGGAUCUGUGAGAAUUAUUGUGACAGGCUUAGCAAUUUGGAUGUUUCCCAGCAAACAGUUUUGCAUUUAAAAGUCAUCUUUUAGCCGUCUAAACACAAAGUUUCAAAAUGACCAGUAAAGGAAUUAUUUUUUACAUUUCUGAGUAUUGACACCACAAUACUCUUCAGGCACUGGCUUUGAGGUUUCUUCCUUCAGUUCUGCACAACUUUGACACCUGAAAAAUACAUGCCAUAGUCAGGCGGGUAGUAGUAUAUGUGUCUUGUGUACAAGUGUUUACAAACCUAUAAACAUUGAUGCCCACUGACCUGCAAGUUUUCUAUCACUAACCCUUUAAACCUCUUUAUUCCAGCAGUUUAAGUUUUUCCCUGUAGUGCCCCCCACUAUCUGUCUCUGCCUCCAAAAUUGUCUGCCACAACUGACUUCAUGACAGCACAGUGAUAGCUGAUGUAACCAAGUAGCUCAGUACACACAUUAACCUCAAAUGUACAUGGAUUAAUACAUUCACCCUUACCUUUUUAUCACAUUAUGUUUUCUGUUUAGAUUUUAUGCUGAUUUUAAUGCUGCAUUGCACAUCUGAGCUAUUUGCAUAAUUGAUCAUUUUAUAUUGCCAUUUGAAUUAAUUUUUAUUCUUAAGCUUUACGAUCCAUUUUCUUAAUAAAUCUUAUUGCACUGGUAAAAUGACAAAGGUAU